ensembl:lncRNA
CGAGAAGGCAAGGGGAGGUGUCUGCUGAAGAGGAUGGAGAGGAUGGAGAGAGAGAUGGAGGUGUCUGCUAAAGGGGAUGGAGAGAGAGAGGGAGGUGUCUGCUAAAGGGGAUGGAGGUGGAGGUGUCUGCUGUAGAGUUCCAUCUUUUCAUGUCUAGUGAUGAGAAGAGGAGGAAGAGCUGAGAUGAGGAGGAGAUGAGGAGGAGGAGGAAAAGGAGAUGAGGAACAGCUGAGGAAGCAGAGGAGGAGAUGAGGUGAGAUGAGGAAGAGGAGGAAUAAAGAGGAAGAUGAGGUGAGAUGAGGAAGAGGAGGAAUAAAGAGGAAGAUGGGGUGAUAA